UGUCCAGGGGCGGGAAUCGAACCCACAACCUUCUGCUUACCGGGCAGGUGCCAUGUCCACUAGGCUACCCUAGGC